UACCAGCACCCCGAGUGGUCGGGACGUUUUAUUGGGCCUAAAGCAUCCGUAGCCGGUUCUACAAGUCUUCCGUUAAAUCCAGCUGCUCAACAGAUGGGCCGCGGAGGAUACUACAGAGCUAGGAGGCAGGAGAGGCAAGCGGUACUCAGUGGGUAGGGGUAAAAUCCGUUGAUCCAUUGAAGACCACCAGUGGCGAAGGCGGCUUGCCAGAAUGCGCUCGACGGUGAGGGAUGAAAGCUGGGGGAGCAAACCGG
rnacentral:rRNA from 1 species